rnacentral:rRNA from 1 species
CAGUAGCCACGGGAAUACGAAGGGUGCAAGCGUUACUCGGAGUUACUGGGCGUAAAGCGUGCGUAGGUGGUGGUUUAAGUCCGUUGUGAAAGCCCUGGGCUCAACCUGGGAAUUGCAGUGGAUACUGGGUCACUAGAGUGUGGUAGAGGAUAGUGGAAUUUCCGGUGUAGCAGUGAAAUGCGUAGAGAUCGGAAGGAACAUCUGUGGCGAAGGCGACUAUCUGGGCCAACACUGACACUGAGGCACGAAAGCGUGGGGAGCAAACAGGAUUAGAUACCCCUGUAGUCCCUGUCUCUUAUAC